ensembl:snRNA U6 U6 spliceosomal RNA
GUGCUUGCUUUGGCAGCACAUGUACUAAAACUGGAAUGAUACAGAGAUUAGCAUGGCCUCUGCACAGAGAUGACAUGCGAAUUGAUGAAGCAUUCCAUAUUUUU